CUACCUUAUUAGAUCUUAGUGGCCAAGCCUUAGUUGAUCCCAGGAUCAUUAAACAUCCCGCUCGAGUGAGUUAGUCCCAUCAGACCAUAUUCUGCAGAAUGUGGCUCUGCAAGCCUCUUGAAAAGGAGAUUCGGAAUAAGAUGAUAGCAGAAUGUCCACAUCCAACAAUACCUGACAAGAUGGCACUCACGCCUGAAUUUGAUCCUCUCCUGAUCACCUUUCUAAGCAAGUUGGGUAAAGACCCCCGCAAAGUCCUUAAACAGGGUCUUAAAGUAGUUCAGGACAAGUUGCUUGACAUCGCUGGCCCAAUUAUACAAAUCUUUAUUCUUGCUGAUGAAGCUCUAACAGACGGUACCUUGGAUCCACAUUUGGUACGAGUAUGGGCACAAAGGGCCUUAUGUUUACUUGGCAAUGCUAAUGUAACUAUUUCAACUGAACGACGCAAAGCUGUCUUAUAUAAGAUUGACGCAAAAU